CUGUGUAGUAAUGGGUUUUUUAGCUCACUGUUGAUGAAGACAAGGACCAAAAGAGGAAACACAGUUAACUGUUUAGACUACGCUGAACCUGACUUCUCACCAAAUAUCAAGCAGACACAGAGGAUGCAGCAAAUGGAGGUAUCUGAUUAUGUUAAUAAGCCACUGAGACCAAAGCAGAAAGGCAGUGGGGAUGCAAAUCAAACAGAGAGAAGACUCUGCCAGGUGCUUCUCCUCAGCUUUGGGCUGCUGUGCGUCAUACAAGCCAUUCUCAAUGUUUCUCUACGCCUGACAUUAUACUCUACCCACUCGGACUGCAACACAACUCAUUUGCCUGGUCAGUGCAACAGAUUACAAGAACGAUUCAACGCUUUGACGCGAGACACAAACCUGCUGGAAAACAGAAACACUGAGCUAACCAACAAGAUCAAGGACCUGGAGGAGGAGAGGGACAGGCUGAGGACUAAUCUGGAGACCGGU